AGCAAGAGAUAGAGACAAUCCCUGCCCAACAAUGGGCUCACAGUCACAAAAGUACAAACACCACGCCUUCCAUCUGGAGGCUUGGUGAACUGGACUGGGAUGAGCAGUGUGACACCAUUCUGGCUUUAGGAAGACAAACUUAGAGACAAGUUCCAGAUGAUUUCUCUUUGAGUCUCAUGAAGACAACUUGCUCCAAAAGGAACAAGAAUACCGUCCUUUCUGCAACUUGGGACAGUGCUUGACAGGAGAACAGGAGAACACAGUUAUUGCAAAGCUUUUGCACAUUGGCUAUCAACUGGCUGUAACAUGAUGAGCCUCUGCCAAGAAUGCUGUUUCGGGCAGAUAACGUGGAAAUGCUGUUAACUAGUCUUUUGUUAAUAUUUCAGUUUUGACUAUUUAAAAUUCGUUGUUUACUAGAAAUUGAUUUUAAGCAGUGCAAAUUGGUGACCACUGAUAAGACUCAAAUCAAUAACCGAGAAACAAGAAGUAAAGUUGGGGGGUUUAAGCUUAAUGAAGUGAAAACCUGAAGCGAAAGGAACUUCUCACGGAUCUUUCAUCUUCCACAGCCAUCUCAAAUUUCACCCAGUGUGGUAGAAGUCAUGUACUAUUUCCUCAUGAUGGAGGGACGAGAAUUUGGCAUCUCAUCUUUUCCCCCCACAAUGACCUCCCUAGACUCCUAGAGAGCCAGGAACACUGCCCACCUACCUUAGAGCAGAUGGCAUGGAGUGACUGUUUUAGCUGAAUUCUAUCCCACUGAAGUGCAUGUUUUGGGCAAUGUACAAUGAAGCCAAAAAAUAUCAGCUGGAUUUACAGGAUGGCAUGUCAACCAAGAGAUCAUCAUGAUGAAAUAUCCCUGACCAAUCAUCUUGCAGAGCCUGCACCCUGCACUCCUUCCUCUCACCUCUCAUUUUCAAGCUGAUGGUGCCAUUUUGCUCAGUAGGAAUCUGAAUCAUCUUUUCAAGUGUUCCACAGCAUCCCAUCUUCUCCACAUUGUGCACGUACCCACCAUCGUUUCUGUCCCUGUCCCAGACGCGGGCCAGCCCUCCUCCGCCCUCACCGUGGCGGCAACAGCCUGAGGUCUCUUGGUGGUGCAUGUACUCCGGCACUCCAGCACUCAGCCCCACAAGUGGCGGGAACCAGAUUCCACCCACCGCUCCAUGCUUUGGAGUCCAGUGGGGGUCCAACCCCGGUGCCUCGCUUCUGCCCAAACCUCAAGCCCCGGACCCCGGUCACAUGGAAGUGCGGAACUAAGGAUGGCCGGUACCAGCAUGCCCCAUGAGGAGGAGCGGACGUUCAUGGCAACGACCACUGAGUUACAGUCCAGCAACCACUGGAAGGACAUGGAGGAUUUGUGUCAGCAUGACUGUCUGGAGGAGGGAUUAGGACAAAAGGCAACAUAUGCUCAGAAUGCUAAGUAGGCAAUAUAUGCCCAUGACUGGGACCUUCUGGGAGGGAAUGGGAAUAAAGGCACUUGGACCGGAA